ACUGUGCCUGGCCUUAGGGCACAGAAUUAAUGUGGUGUGAAAGGAAGUGCAUCUAGCCCAGUCCCCCACUGAUGGAUUCAUCUACAUUCACACAGACAAGAGUCACUCUGUCACUCAGACUGGAGUGCAGUGGUGUGACCAAAGCUCACUGUAGCUUCAAUCUUCUGGGCUGUGCAAGCAAUCCUCCAACCUCAGCCUCCUGAGUAGCUGAAACUACAGCCUGCCGAGUGCCUGCGAUUGCAGGCGUGCGCCGCCACGCCUGACUGGUUUUCGUAUUUUUUUGGUGGAGACGGG